rnacentral:rRNA from 1 species
CCUCGGAUCAGGUAGGGAUACCCGCUGAACUUAAGCAUAUCAAUCAGUCGGAGGAA